rnacentral:rRNA from 1 species
GAAAGCCGAGACGGCGCGGGAUGGGGUCGCGGCCCAUUAGGUAGACGGCGGGGUAACGGCCCACCGUGCCCGCGAUGGGUAGCCGGACUGAGAGGUCGACCGGCCACAUUGGGACUGAGAUACGGCCCAGACUCCUACGGGAGGCAGCAGUGGGGAAUUUUGCGCAAUGGGGGAAACCCUGACGCAGCAACGCCGCGUGCGGGACGAAGGCCCUCGGGUUGUAAACCGCUUUCAGCAGGGAAGAUCCAAGACGGUACCUGCAGAAGAAGCUCCGGCUAACUACGUGCCAGCAGCCGCGGUAAUACGUAGGGGGCGAGCGUUAUCCGGAUUCAUUGGGCGUAAAGCGCGCGUAGGCGGCCGCCUAAGCGGGACCUCUAACCCCGGGGCUCAACCCCGGGCCGGGUCCCGGACUGGGCGGCUCGAGUGCGGUAGAGGAGAGCGGAAUUCCCGGUGUAGCGGUGGAAUGCGCAGAUAUCGGGAAGAACACCGAUGGCGAAGGCAGCUCUCUGGGCCGUCACUGACGCUGAGGCGCGAAAGCUGGGGGAGCGAACAGGAUUAGAUACCCUGGUAGUCCCAGCCGUAAACGAUGGGCGCUAGGUGUGGGGGGACGAUCCCUCC